rnacentral:lncRNA from 1 species
UUCCAAGCUCAGCCCCCUCACCAUGUGAUGCCCUGAGCUGUCUUGGAACUCUGCAGAGAGUCCCCACCUGCAAGAAGGCCCUCACCAGAUGUGGCCCCUCUACCUGGGACUUCGCAGCCUCCAUAACUGGUAGCUGCCCUUGGCAACUCUCGGGUUACAAGAAGCUGGGCAGGAGAUUCCUGUGACAUUUCAGCAGAGUCACGAGUGGGUGGGAUGGGGAAGCUCCGAGCUGCAAAAUAGCUUGCAGUGCCUCGGAGAGGUGGCGCUGGCUAGCCUGGGACUUCCAACAUACAGCCUACAUUGAUGGCCUGAGACUUGUGGCAAAAAAGACUUUCAAAAUCUAAUUUGCUCACAUACAUGAACACCUGCCAGGAAGGAAUUUGAGGCCUUUGUUCUAAACAUGGAAAAGCUGAGUUCAUUUGCCCCAGAGGGGGCACCUGCAGGGAAAAGGAAAAAUGGUUUUAACCCUUUCCUUGAGUCAGAAAAUGAGGCCACCAGAUUCUCCUUUCAUCCUUCAAGUAUCAGAAAGGUCUGUGCUGUGAAUUCCACAGAUGAGAUUCAUUGCAAGAUGUGAGGGCAGAGGAAAUCCAUGGAAAUGAAAUCCACAUUCAAACUGGAUGCAUGCGUUCAGCAACUGGAAGCUGAGUUCAUAUUUCAUUGCCCAACUACCCUGACCACUUGGGAAUCGCAGGUUUGGAAGGACCCACAGCCAUUCUGUGGAAAUGGAUCUGCUUUCAGGACCGAAUCUCAGACUUCUUGGGGAAGGUUUCAGUGGCUGCCUUUGCUGUGCAGACCUGGAGAUGGGUCUGAUGAUCGGACACCUGAAUUAUCUGUGUGGCUGAGUUUCAAGAAGACCUGCUGGGGUGAAAUGAAAAUGGUGCCUACUAGAAGCCCCAGUGGCUUUGCUGGUGGAGAUUUGCUCCUCCACUGGCUCUUCUUGUAGACACACGACUGCUACAGUAUCAAGGGUCUGAUGCAGACAUGACAAUGUCAAGAGGAAGAGGAGAGCCUCGCUCUUCCCAGGCUUUUGCUUUUAAGAGCAGAAAAACUUUCCCCAGAGUUCCACCAGCUCACUUCUCAUCUUACUUCUUUGGCCAGAACUGGCCCUUGUGCCCAUAUUGUCAGUCAAAUGCCGACAAAGGAAAGGGGCCACUAUGAGUGGUUUAGACUUGGAUUGGAUUUGUCCUUAUUGGAUUGUCCUUAAGUCCUUUGAAAAAGAAGUAUACAACAGAAUGAAAUCUUGACUCAGCUUUCAAGAAUAAAGAGGGUGAGAUGACUGAUGGAUGGCUAGCAAAAUCAGAUGUGGGCUCUGUCCUCAUGGAGCAUACAGUCAGAAGGGGAAGAUUUACCUAAUUACACUAACAAACUUAUAACUGUGGUCAGUGUUCUGAAGGAAAGGAAAUCCAGUUGUAUGGGGAAAAUGCACACAUGCUCAAACAAUUUUGCGUCUAAUUUCGUGAACCUACUGAAGUUCGUCCAUAGAAACCCAGAGGACCAGGGCAUGAAGAACUUGUAAGCCAUGCCAUGGAAGGCAAGACUUCAUCCAGAGGGCAGUGAGGAUACUACAACAGGU